CAUUCUGGGCAUAGAUUUCUCCCCUCAGCAGAAUCAGCAUCCACCUGGGGGCUGUUCCAAGCAAAGCUCUUCCUUCUACUCUCUCCCCAUAGCGCUGCCAAGUCCAAACCAAUCAUCGCGGAGCCAGAAAUCCAUGGGGCACAGCCGCUGGAUGGGGUGACGGGCUUCUUGGUGCUGAUGUCGGAGGGGCUGUACAAGGCCCUAGAGGCAGCCCAUGGGCCUGGACAGGCCAAUCAGGAGAUUGCUGCGAUGAUUGACACUGAGUUUGCCAAGCAGACCUCCCUGGACGCAGUGGCCCAGGCCGUUGUGGACCGGGUGAAGCGCAUCCACAGCGACACCUUCGCCAGCGGUGGGGAGCGUGCCAGGUUCUGCCCCCGGCACGAGGACAUGACCCUGCUGGUGAGGAACUUUGGCUACCCGCUGGGCGAAAUGAGCCAGCCCACACCGAGCCCGGCCCCAGCUGCAGGAGGACGAGUGUACCCCGUGUCUGUGCCAUACUCCAGCGCCCAGAGCACCAGCAAGACCAGCGUGACCCUCUCCCUUGUCAUGCCCUCCCAGGGCCAGAUGGUCAACG
rnacentral:sRNA from 1 species